UAUGCUUAUAGCUUAAUUGGAUAAAGCCUUAGAUUGCGGAUCUAUAAAAUGAAAGUUCGAGUCUUUCUAAGCAUAU
rnacentral:tRNA from 1 species